rnacentral:rRNA from 1 species
AGCGAACGCUGGCGGCAGGCUUAACACAUGCAAGUCGAACGCCCCGCAAGGGGAGUGGCAGACGGGUGAGUAACACGUGGGAACGUACCCUUUGGUUCGGAAUAACUUGGGGAAACUCAAGCUAAUACCGGAUAAGCCCUUAUGGGGAAAGGUUUACUGCCGAAGGAUCGGCCCGCGUCUGAUUAGCUAGUUGGUGAGGUAAUGGCUCACCAAGGCGACGAUCAGUAGUUGGUCUGAGAGGAUGAUCAGCCACACUGGGACUGAGACACGGCCCAGACUCCUACGGGAGGCAGCAGUGGGGAAUAUUGGACAAUGGGGGCAACCUUGAUCCAGCCAUGCCGCGUGAGUGAUGAAGGCCUUAGGGUUGUAAAGCUCUUUUACCCGGGACGAUAAUGACUGUACCGGGAGAAUAAGCCCCGGCUAACUUCGUGCCAGCCGCCGCAGUAA